UACGGAGGAUGCAAGCGUUAUCCGGAAUGAUUGGGCGUAAAGCGUCCGCAGGUGGCUAUGUAAGUCUGCUGUUAAAGAGUGAGGCUCAACCUCAUAAGAGCAGUGGAAACUACAUAGCUAGAGUGCGUUCGGGGCAGAGGGAAUUCCUGGUGUAGCGGUGAAAUGCGUAGAGAUCAGGAAGAACACCGGUGGCGAAGGCGGGUCUCUGGGCAAUUCCUGACGCUGAGGCGCGAAAGCGUGGGGAGCAAACGGG
rnacentral:rRNA from 1 species